CAGCCGCUCGAAAAAGUCGGUAGUCUAUGUCCGAACGUCACCCCACCGCGGAUAUGUCCGUCUUCUUCCUCUACUUAUUGCCAGACCUUCUGCGCGAAUGCUGCAAAAGCUUAGGCUGCCGGCUACACCAAGUAACCACACUCCGCCAAUCGAUGCGUGGUGAUUCCAAUAACGUCAAAGCUCAGAGAAUUAGUUCGAUAGAGUUAUUGAUAUUUCGUAAGAAGGCCCUGUGGACACCCUCGCGAUAUUAAAAUUCGACGAUGCUGGUAAAGCUCAAUUUCCUGAUUCUUGUCGCACU